AGAGUUUGAUCCUGGCUCAGGAUUAAUGCUAGGGGUGUGCUUAACACAUGCAAGUCGAACGGUGUCUAUAGGAAUCAAGUUUCGGCUUGAUUUUUAUAGACAUAGUGGCAAACGGGUGAGUAAUAUAUAAAUAAUCUACCUUGAAGAAAGGAAUAGUUCUGCGAAAGUGGAAGUAAUACCUUAUGAUGUCAUAGAAAGGGGGCUUUUUAUGAUUAAAGAUUUAUCGCUUCAAGAUGAGUUUAUAGACUAUCAGCUAGUUGGUAGGGUAAUGGCCUACCAAGGCUACGACGGUUAACCGGUCUGAAAGGAUGAACGGUCACAUUGGAACUGAUACACGGUCCAGACUCCUACGGGAGGCAGCAGUGGGGAAUAUUGCGCAAUGGGGGAAACCCUGACGCAGCGACACCAUGUGAGGGAUGAAGGUCUUAGGAUUGUAAACCUCUGUCUAGAGGAAAGAAUAAAUGACGGUACCUCUAAAGAAAGCACCGGCUAACUCCGUGCCAGCAGCCGCGGUAAUACGGAGGGUGCAAGCAUUAUUCGGAAUUACUAGAUGUAAAGGGCAUGUAGGCGGAUUAAUAAGUUAGAUAUGAAAUCUUGUAGCUCAACUAUAAGCCUGUAUCUAAAACUGUUAGACUAGAGUAUGAGAGGGGGAAACGGAAUUUCUGGUGUAGCGGUGGAAUGUGUAGAUACCAGAAAGAACACCGAUGGCGAAAGCGGUUUCCUGGCUCAAUACUGACGCUGAUAUGCGAAAGCUAGGGGAGCAAACAGGAUUAGAUACCCUGGUAGUCCUAGCCUUAAACGAUGGUCAUUAGGUGUAGGGAAUAUCUCUGUGCCGACGUUAACGCAUUAAAUGACCCAUCUGGGGAGUACGGUCGCAAGACUGAAACUCAAAGGAAUUGACGGGGGCCCGCACAAGCGGUGGAGUAUGUGGUUUAAUUCGACGCAACGCGAAGAACCUUACCUGGGUUUGACAUGCUUUUGAAUAUUAUAGAAAUAUAAUAGUUCGCGAGAACAAAAGCACAGGUGCUGCAUGGCUGUCGUCAGCUCGUGUCGUGAGAUGUUGGGUUAAGUCCCGCAACGAGCGCAACCCUUGUCUUUAGUUGCUAACCCUAUUUUAUAGGGAGGACUUUAAAGAGACUGCCUAGGAUAACUAGGAGGAAGGUGGGGAUGACGUCAAGUCCUCAUGGCCCUUAUGUCCAGGGCUACACACGUACUACAAUGGGUGAUACAAAGGGAUGUAAUAUCGUAAGAUGGAACUAAUCCUUAAAAAUCAUUCUCAGUUCGGAUUGUGGGCUGCAACUCGCCCACAUGAAGUCGGAAUCGCUAGUAAUCGUGGAUCAGCAUGCCACGGUGAAUACGUUCCCGGGCCUUGUACACACCGCCCGUCACACCACGAAAGUUAGUUGUAACAGAAGCCAUUGAAUUAACCUGUAAAGGAGAUAAAUGUCUAAGUUAUGAUUAGUGAUUGGGGUGAAGUCGUAACAAGGUAGCC
rnacentral:rRNA from 1 species